rnacentral:tRNA from 1 species
UGUUGGGUGGUGUAGUUGGUAACACCCCUUCCACGAUGCCGUCUUGGCGGAUCGUUCUGUAUGUUACAAACAGUGACGGAAGGUGCCGCAGGUUCGAAUCCUGCCCUGGCAA